CUGUGUACUUUUUAGUUGUAUUUUGAUUAUCUUUAACAUGAUAAUUUAUUCAGUUUGAUUUCUAUCUAACAGAGACAAACCAGCUUAAAUUUUGGAUCGGCUUUUGACAACUCAGCAUGUGUUUUGGAUUCAAUCGCCUCACAAUUACCAGCUGUUUGGCAAGAUAGAUUAGUAGAUGUUAUUCGAAGCGCCUUGCAAGAGGAUGACACGUGGUACUAACCAUGCUAUCUUGAUGAUUAUUUAAUGUAGAUAAAAUGAAAUCUAUUGCGGGAUACAAACAAAAGAACAUGAAAUAUGCCAGGAAUUAUCAUUUCAACCAGAUAAAAGUAUGGGAGGAAACACCGGAAGUUGUUGCCUGGAAACGGAUUUUUUGUGCCUGCAGAAUUCUCGAUAAGCGCCUAUCAAAGCAAAGGACUGAUACAAUAGAAAUAUAAGCAUUGGCUCAUUGUAACACUCGCACAAUUUCCUUUCUGCUAUUGUCAGGAUCUUUUUUUCCGAGUUCACAUGAUUGUGCUCUUAGCCAAGGUCAUUGUGCAAUGUUGAACGCUUUUUAAACCAACCUUAAUGAGCAGACAUACACCCAUACCUACAUUAAGCAUGUAUGUAGCAUGCUCAUAGGCACUUUCCAAUAUAAUAUAACAGUAAAAUUCUACUCUCCAAGUGCUUACAAAAUAUAAAAAGGGAUAUUACUGAGAAAACAAAUCGAAUUUUUACUUAUUUUCUUUUAAAUAAAAAGCACUUUUAAUUCUUUAAGCAUCUUUCUAUUCGUCAUACGUGUACGUACUUUUAUCAUUUAUCGAUUUCCUUGAUUUUGAUUGGCUGAGGGGCACUGUUACUAUGGUAACUGUCAGAUAAAACAGGACUCGCCAGAUACAAGGUCCGACAAGUCCUUUCAUGAAACGCUCCCCUAAAGUCCAAAGUCACCAAAAAAAACACACGUAAGUGGUCAUAUAGAUUUGGAGCCAAUUCUCAUUUAAUUCUGGAAAGAUUACGUAUAGAAAAUAAGACUCAACUUGCAUAAAAAUAUCCAUGUUGAUUCAUUGAGAAUGUAGGUUCAGAAAUUGGCUAUAAAGAACAAUAUUAUUUUGUAAUGUAUGAUUGGAAAUAUUAGUGAUUUUCAAGUCAUUUAUUCGUCUGCGUAUUAUACAUCAUUGACCUACUUGUUAUCAUUAUUUUAUCUGAAAUGAUAAAUGUUGAGGUUGUGAAUGUUUGUUACAAAAUAGUUUAUAGAAAUCAGGGUUGUUCUUUAUCAUUUUUUUCUUUACUUAUUACAAGUAGUAUUUAUAGUGAACCACUUUCCUCCUUCGUCAGCCUUGAAAAACCAUUAUGACAACAAACUGAAGCUGUUGUGAUAUGACAAAAUGAUUCUGAAUGUAUAGCAACAGACCAAAGUGGUAAACUUAACGUAUUAUGUAUUAAUCAAUGUGUAAUAUAUAGAUAAUACAUAGAUUUAUGUAAAAGCAAAUUAACCUAUAAAUGAAUUACAAAAUAUGUGAAAGUAAUUAGUAACGUGUCCUGUUAUCAUGAUUAUGACAAACUUAUUCUACAAAAUUGUUUAAAUUUAAUGUUCUACGGAAAUAUUACUUUGAAGUAAUCAUAUUUGUGAUACAUACAUGUAUAAAGCAUGUAUAAAGAAUUUAUUGCUAAAUACUACAAAUCGCAGCCACUAUUCAAAGCGAUAUAAAUCUGGUUUAUAUAGGUCUGUUCUAUCAACUGUUUCGAUGCAUGGUUACAUACAUUUUUGAACAUGUAAUAUUUUUUUUUAUAGAUGAUAGAAAUUAUUGUUUACAAUACUCAUUUAGUAAGCUCAAUUAUAACAUCUCUGAAAAACAUUUCAUGUAGUGAAGAUUUGACAAAUGUUUGGAAAUGAUAACUCCAACGAUAAUUUCUUUUAACAACUGUUUUGAAAUAUCUCAUGGUGAGAAUAAAUGUAUUUGCAAUAUA
rnacentral:lncRNA from 1 species